GACGAACCGUGCGAACGUUGUUCGGAUUCACUGGGCUUAAAGGGCGCGUAGGCGGACGGUCAAGUCGGGGGUGAAAUCUUUCAGCUUAACUGGAAAAGUGCCUCCGAUACUGAUCGUCUCGAGGGAGGUAGGGGCAUGUGGAACUUCCGGUGGAGCGGUGAAAUGCGUAGAUAUCGGAAGGAACGCCGGUGGCGAAAGCGGCUCACUGGUCCGGUACUGACGCUGAGGUGCGAAAGCGUGGGGAGCAAACAGG
rnacentral:rRNA from 1 species